rnacentral:rRNA from 1 species
UACAGAGGGUGCGAGCGUUGUCCGGAAUCACUGGGCGUAAAGGGCGCGUAGGUGGCGCGGUGCGCGUGCCGUGAAAGCCCGGGGCUCAACCCCGGGUCGGCGGUGCGAACGGCUGUGCUUGAGCGUACGAGAGGCAGGCGGAAUUCCGGGUGUAGCGGUGGAAUGCGUAGAGAUCCGGAAGAACACCGGUGGCGAAGGCGGCCUGCUGGCGUACGGCUGACACUGAGGCGCGACAGCGUGGGGAGCAAACAGG